UAUUAAAAAAUCCAUCCCUUUGUACUGAUAAAAAUUGGCAUGGUUAACAAAAUAACUAGACAUAGUGACACAUGGCAUGUCACAUGUAGCUUAUGCUGAUGUACAUGAACUGGUUUUUAAUAAUAGAAAUGGAUGAAUUUUUUAACA
rnacentral:pre_miRNA from 1 species